UACGGGAGGCAGCAGUGGGGAAUAUUGCACAAUGGGCGCAAGCCUGAUGCAGCCAUGCCGCGUGUAUGAAGAAGGCCUUCGGGUUGUAAAGUACUUUCAGUCGUGAGGAAGGUGUUAAGGUUAAUAACCUUAGCAAUUGACGUUAGCGACAGAAGAAGCACCGGCUAACUCCGUGCCAGCAGCCGCGGUAAUACGGAGGGUGCGAGCGUUAAUCGGAAUUACUGGGCGUAAAGGGCACGCAGGCGGUUAAUUAAGUUGGAUGUGAAAUCCCCGGGCUUAACCUGGGAAUGGCAUUCAAGACUGGUUAGCUAGAGUCUUGUAGAGGGGGUAGAAUUCCAUGUGUAGCGGUGAAAUGCGUAGAGAUGUGGAGGAAUACCGGUGGCGAAGGCGGCCCCUGGGACAAAGGACUGACGCUCAUGUGCGAAAGCGUGGGGAGCGAAAACAGGGAUUAGAUACC
rnacentral:rRNA from 1 species